CACGUAGGCGCAAGCGUUGUCCGGAAUUAUUGGGCGUAAAGAGCUCGUAGGCGGUCUGUUGCGUCCGCUGUGAAACUCGGGCUUAACCCGAGCCUGCAGUGGAUACGGGCAGACUAGAGGUAGGUAGGGGAGAAUGGAAUUCCGGUGUAGCGGUGAAAUGCGCAGAUAUCGGGAGGAACACCGGUGGCGAAGGCGGUUCUCUGGGCCUUACCUG
rnacentral:rRNA from 1 species